AAGUCGUAACAAGGUUUCCGUAGGUGAACCUGCGGAAGGAUCAUUACCAAGGUACCUAGCCUACCCGGCUAGAACCUCCAACCACUGUGUACCAAACUUUUGUUGCCUCGGCGGGCUGGGUGCCCACCAGCGCCCCCCCUAGGGGAGUCGCCCGCCGAAGGACCUUUAAAACUUCUUUGUAGAUGAACGUCUGAUUCAAUUUUAAAAGAAAUACAACUUUCAACAAUGGAUCUCUUGGCUCUG
rnacentral:misc_RNA from 1 species